UACGAAGGGGGCUAGCGUUGCUCGGAAUCACUGGGCGUAAAGGGCGCGUAGGCGGCCAUUCAAGUCGGGGGUGAAAGCCUGUGGCUCAACCACAGAAUUGCCUUCGAUACUGUUUGGCUUGAGUUUGGUAGAGGUUGGUGGAACUGCGAGUGUAGAGGUAGAAAUUCGUAGAUAUUCGCAAGAACACCAGUGGCGAAGGCGGCCAACUGGACCAACACUGACGCUGAGGCGCGAAAGCGUGGGGAGCAAACAGG
rnacentral:rRNA from 1 species